UUAAAGAAAAUAAGAGGAAAAAAAGGGUGAAGAAGACAAAGAUGAACGCUACAAGAAAAAGUCUUUCUAUAGCCUUUGGAUAUAGCCUUUUUCAAACUAGACUAUGAAAUUGAAAGGAAAAAAAAAAUUCUAUUUUUUGUUUUGUUUUGUUUUGUUUUUUUUUUUUUUUUUGCUUUCUCUGUUUCUCUUACCCUACAUUUUUUUUUCUCUCUCUCUCCCCUUCCUCUCCAUUUCUUUCUCUUCUUUUAACUCUGUCUUUUGUUAGAUCUAAAAAUGUUUGUUUCAUAGCAUCAAAAUUUGGGUACUUUUUGAAACAAUGAGAUAUGAAGAUCCACGACGGUGAACGGAAGGUAGAGACCAGUUGCAGAUCUGAUUUGGUGGCAGUGGACUCUCAGCGACAGGAGACAAUGUAGAUAUUACAGCGGCUUAAUGGAGGAAGUGACGAACAACGGAGAAGAGUUGGUCUAGACAACAGAUCUAGUACCAACCGAGUGGUUCUGGGUGGCGAAGAUUGUUCUUCGAACAUAGUGGUUCUGGGCGAUAUAGGUUCUUCUUCGAGUUAGGUUUCACACAAAAAAACAUUAUUUAGUAUUGAGUUUCUUUCAAAUCGUUACGUCGUUUUCCAUUUGUAGUUGUAUUGAUCGAUCUGAGUUGAAGGAUAGAUUUGGUUUGAUAGUGUUGAGUAUACUUAAGCUUUUCAUAAGAUUUGAUUUCUUUUUUUUAAUUGUUAUUUUGCACCCUCUCUCUUUUUUUUUUCUUCCUUUCAAUCUCACAGUUAUUGCAAAUUUUUCUUAUAUUUUCCAACCAGAGGCUCCUCUUAAACCAUUUUUGCAACAAAACAUUUGAAGCCCUGAACCAUUUGCUGAAGAGGAUGAUCCAGUAAAACCAUCUGGUUGUUGCUUGUCCUAAAAAAACUAGAGUUAUGUGUGAUGUGGAGGUGCAUAAGAGUUAAUGCGACAUGAAGGUCCUCUAUUGUAUACCACACUUAAUUUGUGGAUGGAAUGAGGCUUUGCAUAUUGAUGAAAAAUGAAGAUGACAACUCACUUAACCCUUAAAUUUUGUACUCAUUACGGAAAUAUUCAAAAGUUGGUGAAUCUUGUAUUUUGCUAAUCAUUUUGUAUUAAUUACUUUGUAACUUUCUUUCAUUGUAUUACAUUAAUUAAAUGUGUCAUGUAAGGGAUUACAAAAUUUCAAUUGUGAGAUGAAACUUGUGAUA